CAGUAGCCGCGGUAAUACGUAGGGUGCGAGCGUUAAUCGGAAUUACUGGGCGUAAAGCGGGCGCAGACGGUUACUUAAGCAGGAUGUGAAAUCCCCGGGCUCAACCUGGGAAUUGCGUUCUGAACUGGGUGGCUAGAGUGUGUCAGAGGGGGGUAGAAUUCCACGUGUAGCAGUGAAAUGCGUAGAGAUGUGGAGGAAUACCGAUGGCGAAGGCAGCCCCCUGGGAUAGCACUGACGUUCAUGCCCGAAAGCGUGGGUAGCAAACAGGAUUAGAUACCCGGGUAGUCCCUGUCUCUUAUAC
rnacentral:rRNA from 1 species